UUAUUGGAGAGUUUGAUCCUGGCUCAGGACGAACGCUGGCGGCGUGCCUAAUACAUGCAAGUCGAGCGGACUUUUGGGAGCUUGCUCCCAAAAGU
rnacentral:rRNA from 1 species